rfam:Nomascus leucogenys chromosome X, whole genome shotgun sequence.
GCUGGGUGUGGUGGCACGUGCCUGUAAUCCCAGCUACUCGGGAGGCUGAGGCAGGAGAAUCGUUUGAACCCAGGAGGCAGAGGUUGCAGUGAGCCUGGAUCAUGCCACUGCACUCUAGCCUGGGCAACAGAGCGAGACUCUGUCUCAA